AUCCGUGGCAGAUUACCACGUUAAUAGACGAGAGGUGUAAGCAACGCGAGUUGUUUAGCUUACUCGCACUAAUGAUC
rnacentral:rRNA from 1 species